rnacentral:misc_RNA from 1 species
GAAUAUGUAAGGCUAUCAAUAUCUGAAAAUUUCACAAGACAUUUUUAAUUUUAUUAAGGGACCUUAUUUUCAACCACAAAUAUAUGAAAGAACAAAUUGAAAGCAACAAGUAUACAUAUGUUCUAAGCUAUUAAGCAGUGUUUUCUUAGCACACUAAAUGUUAGGUACCCAAAGCCAGUAACAUUAUCCAUGACAUAGAAAUAAUUAACAGACAAUAAUUUAUCAAUCUUCCAAGGCCUAAAAAACCAAAGAAGGUAUAGUUCCGAUGAAUGCUAUUGUUGAUUAGUAAUGCAAUUAACUCAAUAUGGUAAGAUAUGUAGAAAUAAAAGACAUAUAGGUGAUAAAUUAGGCACAGACUACAAGCAGCAUGCUAGCUUGGAAACAGACAAACCAAGUAAGGCCAAAGCAUGCUUGAGUGUAAACUCAAUGGACUUAUCAGCUCACUCAGAUAGAAUAGGUGGAAGAGAAGUCUGGAGUCCACAAGAUAUAUUAAUUGUUAUUGUUCUGUUUGACUUUUUUUGCUUUAAAGUAUAAAGUGCUGGUAGAAAAUGGCCCCACCAACCUGCAUCUGCCAUCACUAUGCAUUCACAACCAGCAACUUACCAUCUUAAGCUACUAAAAAGUAAAAAGCAAAACUACAAAUUCCUUUUCAAUAUUGUGGGUUAUACAACAACUUUAUGCUAGAGUCCUAUUUGCAAGUAUA